rnacentral:rRNA from 1 species
CAAUAGCGUAUAUUAAAGUUGUUGCGGUUAAAAAGCUCGUAGUUGGAUUUCUGCCGAGGACGACCGGUCCGCCCUCUGGGUGAGUAUCUGGUUCGGCCUGGGCAUCUUCUUGGAGAACGUAUCUGCACUUGACUGUGUGGUGCGGUAUCCAGGACUUUUACUUUGAGGAAAUUAGAGUGUUUCAAGCAGGCACACGCCUUGAAUACAUUAGCAUGGAAUAAUAAGAUAGGACCUUGGUUCUAUUUUGUUGGUUUCUAGAGCUGAGGUAAUGAUUAACAGGGACAGUCAGGGGCACUCGUAUUCCGCCGAGAGAGGUGAAAUUCUCAGACCAGCGGAAGACGAACCACUGCGAAAGCAUUUGCCAGGGAUGUUUUCACUGAUCAAGAACGAAAGUUAGGGGAUCGAAGACGAUCAGAUACCGU